rnacentral:rRNA from 1 species
CCUACGGGGGGCUGCAGUGGGGAAUAUUGCACAAUGGGGGAAACCCUGAUGCAGCAACGCCGCGUGAGUGAAGAAGUAUUUCGGUAUGUAAAGCUCUAUCAGCAGGGAAGAAGAAAGACGGUACCUGACUAAGAAGCCCCGGUUAACUACGUGCAAGCAGCCGCGGUAUUACGUAGGGGGCAAGCGUUAUCCGGAUUUACUGGGUGUAAAGGGAGCGUAGACGGCUGUGCAAGUCUGAAGUGAAAGCCCGGGGCUCAACCGCGGAACUGGUUUGGAAACUGUAUAGCUGGAGUACUGGAGAGGCAGGCGGAAUUCCUGGUGUAGCGGUGAAAUGCGUAGAUAUUAGGAGGAACACCAGUGGCGAAGGCGGCCUGCUGGACAGAAACUGACGUUGAGGCUCGAAAGCGUGGGGAGCAAACAGGAUUAGAUACCCGAGUAGUC